rnacentral:rRNA from 1 species
UACGAAGGGGGCUAGCGUUGCUCGGAAUCACUGGGCGUAAAGGGUGCGUAGGCGGCGCGGUAAGUCGGGUGUGAAAUCUCGGGGCUUAACUCCGAAACUGCAUUCGAUACUGCCGUGCUUGAGGACUGGAGAGGAGACUGGAAUUUACGGUGUAGCGGUGAAAUGCGUAGAUAUCGUAAGGAAGACCAGUGGCGAAGGCGGGUCUCUGGACAGUUCCUGACACUGAGACACGAAGGCCAGGGGAGCAAACGGG